rnacentral:misc_RNA from 1 species
UUCUUUUUUUUUUUUUUUUUAAUCCUUGUAGUCUCAGUUGUGGGGGAAAACCUUGGAAACUUACAGUUGUACAUUAUUGUAAGAUAGCAUCGUAAGUGGGUACUGGGCAAAGUAUGUACUUAUGGAUUUCAUUAUUUCAAAAUUGUUCACUUUCAUUUUGAGACAAGCGUUAGAAUGAGCCCUGAAAUCCUCAUCAACUUCUAACAAAUGUGACGUAUUUGAGCCGUUCCCACCAAUGAAAGAAAUUGGAGAGGAGAGAGUUAAAGUGAAGGAUGUCCAAGGCAGGCAAACAGGCUCCUCAAAUCAGUUGAGCUAUUUUUUCAUGUGCUUGAGUUGCUUUCAAAGUGCAAUCCUAAGUUGAUGUUCAUAUUGAGAAAGCUUAUAUUUUCGCUUUCCUUAGGAAAGCUUCUCCAGUUCCAUAAGAUAAGAAU